rnacentral:lncRNA from 10 species
GUAUUUUUAAAAUCCUUCUUGCUUAAAAUACCUAUAGUGGUAAUUUCUGUUUCCGUUAGUGCAUCCUGACAAAAUAAGAGGGAACAAAGGGAAGGAGAGGAGAGAAAAGAGAGAAAAAGAAGUCUCGGCAUAUAACAACUUAAUUUCAAUCCCUGCACUGAGAGACCUGACCCACAGUAGCUAGUAUGGUUUCUAAGCGGCCUAAGUUCACACCCCUGGUAUGACCCAACCAUCUCAUGAAUUUCUGCCUUCAAAAGCUCAUGGGUGUCAAAAGCAUUUCCUGUUUGUUCUGGCUAAUACCUGAUGAUAGGCCCCUGAUAUUUCCUUCUCAGUGCACUUAUUAAAAAAGGAUUAUAAUUGUGAAUCCUGUCUCUUUCCCUUUGGAGAUAUAUAUGCAGCUCCUACGACUUCACUCGCUCCCUGUCCCUACUCCCUCAUUUUCCCUUUAAAGCACUCAGUCACUUCUGCACAAAUCAGAAUGGAGUUCAGCUCUUUCUUCUUCUUUUUUUUUUUUUUUUUAACUUUUUUAGAGACAGGAUCUUGCUAUGUUGCCCAGGUUGAGCUCAAACUCCUGGCCUCAAGCAAUCCUCCUGCCUCGGCCUCCUAAAGCACUGGGAUCAGUUCUUUCUCCUGUUGUCAGUCGUUUCUGAAGAAAAUCUGUUUUCACUGCUGUAAUGUCUGGCUUUAUCUUAGACAAGAGAGACUUAUUCUUUCUGCUCUUUUUCUUCAACUUUUGUAGGUCAACUGAUAGCCAAUUAGAUUAUAAGAAUAAUUUUUUAUUUCUAUAAAAAUAUAACAUUGGUUCAUUUUAAACAAUAUAGAUCAUUAAAUAUCAUAAUGAUUUAUUAUGAAACCACAUUUUCUAUAUAUCUUUUAAUGGAGAGAUAGUGUUCUCUCUCCAGAAUAUUUAACCUGUGAUUUUACCUAAAGUCUGACAGACUAAAUACUUCAAGUACUACUCAGUAUUAUGAACCAAUCCCAUAAAUAUUAGAACUUUCUAGUCCACAUAUAGUUUCAAAGUAAACACUAAUAAACAACAUGACUCCAAAAUUCAUCUGCAGAAACUACAAUUUAGUGUAGGAACUAUAAACUACAAAAUAAAUUAACAUUAAUAGAAUCGUUCUUUGGCUGGGCACAGUGGCUCACACCUGUAAUCCCAUCACUUUGGAAGGCAGAGGUGGGUGGAUCACCUGAGGUCAGGUGUUCAAGACCAGCCUGGCCAACAUGGUGAAACCCCAUCUCUAUAAAAAUGCAAAAAUUAGCUGGGCAUGAUGGCAGGUGCCUGUAAUCCCAGCUACUCGGGAGGCUGAGGCAGGAGAAUCGCUUGAACCCGGGAGGCAGAGGGUGCAGUGAGCCUAAAUCGCACCAUUGCACUCCAGCCUGGGUGACAGAGCAAGACUUCAUCUCAAAAAAAAAAAAAAAAAAGAAUUGCUUUUGUCAAUUGAUGAAAAAAGGAAAUUCCAACUGAUGCUUUAAAAGAGAAAUUGCCUGGAGUAGAGAAAGACUGUAAGAGUUCUACUCUCUUUGGCCUUCGAUUAAACAGAAAUAUUUCAGAGGAGCUUGAAUCCUUUGAAACACACUUAUACUGCACAGCGUGUUGCUAUCCUCAUUUCUGUUACUUAGGUUUUGC